UAGGGAAUCUUCCACAAUGGACGAAAGUCUGAUGGAGCAACGCCGCGUGAGUGAAGAAGGGUUUCGGCUCGUAAAGCUCUGUUGGUAGUGAAGAAAGAUAGAGGUAGUAACUGGCCUUUAUUUGACGGUAAUUAAUGAAUAAGCUCCGGCUAACUACGUGCC
rnacentral:rRNA from 1 species